GAUGAACGCUGGCGGCGUGCCUAACACAUGCAAGUCGAGCGGAGUUAUGAGAGGUGCUUGCACCACUUUUAACUUAGCGGCGGACGGGUGAGUAACACGUGAGUAACCUGCCCUUGAGUGGGGAACAACAUCGAGAAAUCGGUGCUAAUACCGCAUAAUAUCGGAGAUCCGCAUGCUUCUCCGAUCAAAGGAUUUAUUCGCUUGAGGAUGGACUCGCGUCCGAUUAGUUAGUUGGUGAGGUAACGGCCCACCAAGACAUCGAUCGGUAGCCGAACUGAGAGGUUGAUCGGCCACAUUGGGACUGAGACACGGCCCAGACUCCUACGGGAGGCAGCAGUGGGGAAUAUUGGGCAAUGGGCGAAAGCCUGACCCAGCAACGCCGCGUGAAGGAUGAAGGUCUUCGGAUUGUAAACUUCCUUUGAUCAGGGACGAAACAACAUGACGGAC
rnacentral:rRNA from 1 species